rnacentral:rRNA from 1 species
UACGGAGGAUGCGAGCGUUAUCCGGAUUUAUUGGGUUUAAAGGGUGCGUAGGCGGACUGGAAAGUCAGCGGUAAAAUCGAGAGGCUCAACCUCUUUCCGCCGUUGAAACUGUCGGUCUCGAGUUGGAGAGAAGUAUGCGGAAUGCGCGGUGUAGCGGUGAAAUGCAUAGAUAUCGCGCAGAACUCCGAUUGCGAAGGCAGCAUGCCGGCUCCACACUGACGCUGAGGCACGAAAGCGUGGGUAUCGAACAGG